rnacentral:rRNA from 1 species
CCGUCUACUCUUGGACAGCCUUCUGAAAGGAAGAUUAAUACAAGAUGGCAUCAUGAGUCCGCAUGUUCACAUGAUUAAAGGUAUUCCGGUAGACGAUGGGGAUGCGUUCCAUUAGAUAGUAGGCGGGGUAACGGCCCACCUAGUCUUCGAUGGAUAGGGGUUCUGAGAGGAAGGUCCCCCACAUUGGAACUGAGACACGGUCCAAACUCCUACGGGAGGCAGCAGUGAGGAAUAUUGGUCAAUGGGCGAGAGCCUGAACCAGCCAAGUAGCGUGAAGGAUGACUGCCCUAUGGGUUGUAAACUUCUUUUAUAAAGGAAUAAAGUCGGGUAUGGAUACCCGUUCGCAUGUACUUUAUGAAUAAGGAUCGGCUAACUCCGUGCCAGCAGCCGCGGUAAUACGGAGGAUCCGAGCGUUAUCCGGAUUUAUUGGGUUUAAAGGGAGCGUAGAUGGAUGUUUAAGUCAGUUGUGAAAGUUUGCGGCUCAACCGUAAAAUUGCAGUUGAUACUGGAUAUCUUGAGUGCAGUUGAGGCAGGCGGAAUUCGUGGUGUAGCGGUGAAAUGCUUAGAUAUCACGAAGAACUCCGAUUGCGAAGGCAGCCUGCUAAGCUGCAACUGACAUUGAGGCUCGAAAGUGUGGGUAUCAAACUGGAUUAGAUACCCUGGUAGUCCACACGGUAAACGAUGAAUACUCGCUGUUUGCGAUAUACUGCAAGCGGCC